AGCCUUUUCUGGUUCAUAAGCAUGGUGAUUUGGUUUUCAUGUAUUGGGGUGACAUGUACCUUCCAUAAGCCUUGUUACAACAUCAGCACAUUACCCGUCUUGAUA
ensembl:snoRNA